UCUGGGUGCCGGCGCCCUCGCGAGGCUGGGCUGCACCGGAAGUUGGGUAGCCGCGGCUGCAGCGCCGGCCGUGGAUUGUAAGUCUAGGCCUACAACCCAAGUGCAUACCUGACUGUCGUGGGUUCGACCUGACUGAGAGUCUAUUCGGAGCCGGCCUGAGCCGAGCCGCGCGGCGCUGACUGGGUUACACCCUUAGUGGCGUCAGGCUGGCCGCUCUUGCCCGUUCACGGAGCAGUAGAGAUCCAUAGACUUGAGUAAUGUGAACCGUUCGUGCAACUGCUUGUGCCAAACUCCCAGGUUUCUGCCUUCUCAGCCUGUGAUGCUGCCCAGUUUCCUUCCCAGCAGUUCUCCUUGAUUACCACGGGCCAUGCCGACCACCCGGCGGAGCCUAGAGCAGAGCGACGCAGACCAGCAAGGGUUCCCUCGCACGCCCAGCGGCGGUGGCUGCCACCGUCAAUCGGAAGGCCGAGCCCGGGGCCCUCAGCGGGGCGACGCCUCCGCUCUCACAGCUGGCGGCCCUACCAUUGAAGUUUUAAGAAAUACGUGCAUGUCCCCAAAGUAAGAUGAGACUCAGGAUUUGGAAAGCAAAACAAACAACGGAACAAACAAAAUGAGUAGAUUUUAGACCUCCAUGAAUGCUUCCAAAGUGAACAAAAAGAAGGUGAAAGGGGAGGAGACCAGGUGUCAA
rnacentral:lncRNA from 1 species